ensembl:lncRNA MICALL2-DT MICALL2 divergent transcript
GAGGGCCGAGACCCCCAACCGGUGAAGGGGCGCGGUCUGCUUGGGGGUCCUGCCAUUCUGGACCCCUGCGGAGACCUGGAAUUUUCUUUUUCGCCGCCCCACCUCCCACCACCAUCUCACCCCACCGCCAUGGAGAAGAGGCAGGAAAGGCCGUUGACAAACGGGGACACUGAGGCUCGAACACCCUGCCCUGUCUAGGGCCUCAGCCCUCGGCAGCCCGGCCUCCCGGGGAGCAGGAGGCGCCUUGUGUUUCAGGGUUUCAAAGGACGUCCGCAUCUGGUUUCUCUUUCCAGGCCGCUACAUGCCAGCGGGGGUUCCAGGCAAGGCAGAGGUGAGGCCUGGGCAUUGCCAGAGGAGAAACUGAGGCCAGGAAGGGGGCCGUGGAGCCGGAGUUGCACAGCUGGCCUGUGCUUUUCUUCUGGGGGCCUGUGGGCAGGAUCUGUUCCUGGGGCAGGAGAUUCCUCAGGCUGACUUGCAGGGUAGUUCCAAUUUUCCACUUUGAGCUGUGACAGAAGAAAUAAGGAAAGUCCCUCUGCUGGGGCCCUAAAUUAUCCCAGACUGGCCCCUGGCCCCGUUAUCCUUGGGGAACCUUGUCUGUGGCCACGGGGGCUGGACGAGGGCGGAAUCACUGACACCAGCCAUGUGAGGGGGGCCUACCCUCCUGGCUGUGGGGCCAGGGCUUGUCUGGGCAGGGCCUGCAGGAAGGAAGGUGUUUUCCCGCAGUAGCCCCUGGCAGGGAGUCAGGGCAGCUUCUCUGUGCCCCUUGGGAGGAGGAGAAACUGAGGUCUUCCAACCCCAGCCAAUGGUGCUGUUCCAGAUCUUUUCUGAGGCUGGUCCCUGGUGAGACACCGUAGUGUUCAUGGCCAGCUGCCUAAGUGUCAGUGAGGCCUGUGUGUAGGUGGUGAGCUCCCCGUCACCAGGGGCAUGCAAGCAGCUGCUAGGCAGGGAGCCCUUGUGGCCUGGGAAUGUGGCUGGCCCUAACCGCUGCUCCGCCACAGUCCCUGACCUGCGGAUGUCAGGGGAUAUCGUGCCAGCACAGCCGGAGCCGGUCCUGGCACCGGGUUUUCUUGACUCCCAGGGCAACGGUUAGGAGAACCGGAAGAGCUGGAAAAGAAGGGAGAGAUCAAGAAGCAGAAGCAGCGGGGCAGUGGGCGGGGGGAAUUAGUGGGGGAUGGGGGACACAGGGGUGGACAGGCGUUAGGGCCCAGCUCCCUUAAAAGGAGUGGUGUGGGAGGUGGCCUGGGUUUCACUUUUAUCGUGAACUUUUACCACUGCACACUUAAAAAGCCAUCUCACUGGUCACCCCGUGGCCCAUCCUGCGCGGCCCCCCUCUGGCACCAGUGAGCUGGGAGGCAGCAUUUGUGACGUUUGCCCACCAGCACCUCACACACCAUGUCCCUCCAGGGUCCCCGAAGCCAGGAGCCAGGACACCCCCAAACAAAUGGUCCUUUCUCCCCACUGCCCACGGCUGCCACCCUCCCAUCCAGACGACCUGUCCCCCCGCCUCUGCCCACAGGGCUGCCUCCUGCCCCUCCAGCCACCACAGUCCACCCUCCCCAGCAGCCCGAGGGAUCUUUCUAGAAGGCCUGACCAAGCCCUUCCCCUGCCGGGAGCCUCCCAGGCUGUCCUUCGAAUAAAGUCCAGGUUGCUUAUCAGAC